rnacentral:rRNA from 1 species
AGCGUAGACGGCUUAGCAAGUCUGAAGUGAAAGCCCGGGGCUCAACCCCGGGACUGCUUUGGAAACUGUUAAGCUGGAGUGCUGGAGAGGUAAGCGGAAUUCCUAGUGUAGCGGUGGAAUGCGUAGAUAUUAGGAGGAACACCAGUGGCGAAGGCGGCUUACUGGACAGUAACUGACGUUGAGGCUCGAAAGCGUGGGGAGCAAA